rnacentral:rRNA from 1 species
GACAGAGGGUGCAAACGUUGCUCGGAAUCACUGGGCGUAAAGGGCGCGUAGGCGGACUUUUAAGUCAGGGGUGAAAUCCUGAGGCUCAACCUCAGAACUGCCUUUGAUACUGAGGGUCUCGAGACCGGUAGAGGUAAGUGGAACUGCGAGUGUAGAGGUGAAAUUCGUAGAUAUUCGCAAGAACACCAGUGGCGAAGGCGGCUCACUGGCCCGGUACUGACGCUGAGGUGCGAAAGCGUGGGGAGCAAACAGGAGUU